AAUGGCGAUAGUGUAGGGGCCACAGGCUUGGUGUGGCUAAAUAGGUAGCAUUAAAUGCUACACCACGGGUUUUCACCAAACGCAACCCAAAGGUAAAACAAUUUCUUUCUUUGUUCUUUACUUUUCCAUUUCUUCCCGUUGAAUCACCUGCUGAGCAUUUAUGAGUUUGUACUUAUCCGUUUUGGGUCCUUGACUCCUAUCGGCUCUGUGGAAGCCAACUUGAUCAAGGGAGAAGAAGUGAAAUCCAACCGUUCAUGCCAUGAUUGGCAUUGGUCUAGUUCGUCUAUUUCAAAAUAUGUAAUGAAAUUGCUUGCAUUUUGGUUUAUCCCACAUCGAAAAAUUAGGGGUUUGGGGUAUUUGGGAACUUUAUAAAUAGAAGGCCAUUUUUUCAUUGUCAGGGAUACCUUGCAAUCUGAAAAUCUCACUUUUGCAAAAGGAACUCGAAAUACUUGGGGUUUUGAAGUAUUCAAGACCCUUAAUUAUUUUUUUUGAGUUCGAGUUUAAGUUUAAAAUUUCAGUUUUUAUGUUCUUGUGUGGCGAAUAUUGGUUAAUUUGAGCUUUUGGGGGAACAUUAGAGGUCUUCCAAGUUCCAUCUCAACCUAAGGCUACAUCAAAAAGGGGUAAUCUUCCUACCUUAUUAUUUUAGUUUCUCUGUAUUUCCUUUUGUCUAAUUUGUUAUGUGUUAGAUUAAGUUUGUUAAUGUAAUAGAUUAAGAUUUAAUCAUGACAUUACUCUGUCUUUAUUCAAGUGAUUGCUUAGGGUAUGUUUAGGUCUGUUUAUUGCUGUUUAAUUACUAGUCAUUAAGAUUUAGUAAAAUUAACUUAAAUUUGUCAUUUGUUUGAAGAUCCAUGUCUGUUUGUGAUGAGUAAAUUCACUAAGUAAUUUCUGAUUAGGGUAAGUUAACCUAUUUGGUUCAUAUGACUUUAUAAAGCUGAUAGAAAGCUUUGGAAUCCCUUGAACCUGCUCAUUGGUUUAAUCAUGAUAUAAGCUUGAAAGUUAUAGACUGUUGCUCAUGCACUAGGUUUGAUUUUAAUUAUUUUUAGUUUAAUAUGUGUCUUGACUGAUUGAUUACUCUACAUUAGUCUAACAUAAUUCCUCUGUCAUCAACUUUUUAUUGUAUGAACUGGUUUUGUGUAGUAGUUUGCUAUGAAGUUCUUGAUUGAUGUCUGUGACUUAAUAAGAAUCAUAGAUUGAUUUACUCACUAUUUGCAAAGUCACUAUAUAAUAGUAGUAGACUCAGGUUAAUCUUUAAUUGAAUAUUGGUGAAAGGUUUCAGUUAGAUCUCUUAAGUGUGACUGAAACAAAUAUGUGCUUAUGUGAAUUUUUUUUUCCUGAACAGUGUCAUGUUAAUUUUUAGAGACAUCUAGUCUAAAACUUGCCUAAAAAGAGAGUGCAACCAAGUACAAAGAUAUGAAGGUUCUUGCUUAAGUCUACAACACUUUUUUUUUUUUUUUGGAAGAAGUAUAUUUAUGGCCAUAUAAUUCUGUACAGAUUUAAGAUUUGGUUAAGUAGUAAGUAAAGAUUAUGAUAUCCACAUGAGGUUAUAUUAAGUGUAGUUACAGGUUAAGAAUAAACCUUCCUUUUAUAUGAUUUAAGUUGAGUCUGUGGUUGUUUACAUAGCCAGUUGGGACUACUUGUGAUUCAUGACCAUGCUGGUGCCUUGAUUGAAAAAAUAAUGACUUUUAAAAAGAGAUUAUUUACACCUAAUAGCUAAAAAUGAUCCACUUAGGUCCAUAAUUUGACUCAAAAACUUAAGUUUCCAUUUUGCUCUCAUAUACCUAAAUCUUUACUUGAUCAAAUGAUUAAUUUGAAGUUGACUUGUGUAUUUUGAGACUGGUAUAGCUGAGUCAAUGUAAAACUGUCUAGACCUUUGAUGGGCUUGCUAUAUAAAUGGAAUGGGCUAAUUUGAGUAAAGUAUAAUUUUAUGAACACUCUGUUUGAUCUUUUGUCUGUCUGUAGUAGUGUCACUUGUUCAUUCAAGACUUAAUGGAUUAUUUUGGAGUAUCUGUUAUGGUCUAGUAAUUCAUAUGAGGGAUUGAUAUAACUGGUGGUUUAUAAAAGCCUUCUAUAGCUAUACUAAGUAUUGUUGGUCUUGAUUAUUAGUUCUCUACACUUGAAGUUGAUUGGAAAAGCUAUUUGAUAAUUUGCCUUAAUUCAUAGUUCAGAAAACCAGUUGUAACCUUUUAAUAAGUGACAAUUAGCUCUUUAAAAAAAUUAAAAAAAAA